rnacentral:rRNA from 1 species
UACGUAGGCAGCGAGCGUUGUUCGGAAUUACUGGGCGUAAAGCGUGCGCAGGCGGCUGCUCAAGUCAGGGGUGAAAGCCCAGAGCUCAACUCUGGAAUUGCCUUUGAGACUGAGUGGCUUGAGUACGGGAGAGGUGAGUGGAAUUCCCAGUGUAGAGGUGAAAUUCGUAGAUAUUGGGAAGAACACCGGUGGCGAAGGCGGCUCACUGGCCCGUAACUGACGCUCAUGCACGACAGCGUGGGGAUCAAACAGG